rnacentral:rRNA from 1 species
AACGAACGCUGGCGGCAUGCCUAACACAUGCAAGUCGAACGAGACCUUCGGGACUAGUGGCGCACGGGUGCGUAACGCGUGGGAACCUGCCCUUAGGUUCGGAAUAACUCCCCGAAAGGGGUGCUAAUACCGGAUAAUGUCUUCGGACCAAAGAUUUAUCGCCUUUGGAUGGGCCCGCGUUGGAUUAGCUAGUUGGGAGGGUAAAAGCCUACUAAGGGGUCGAUCCAUAGCUGGUCUGAGAGGAUGGUCAGCCACACUGGGACUGAGACACGGCCCAGAAUCCUACGGGAGGCGGCAGUGGGGAAUAUUGGACAAUGGGCGAAAGCCUGAUGCAGCAAUGCCGCGUGAGUGAUGAAGGCCUUAGAGUUGUAAAGCUCUUUUACCCGGGAUGAUAAUGACAGUACCGGGAGAAUAAGCCCCGGCUAACUCCGUG